UGAAUGUAUAUGUGUGUUUG
rnacentral:piRNA from 1 species